rnacentral:rRNA from 1 species
UACGUAGGGGGCAAGCGUUGUCCGGAUUUAUUGGGCGUAAAGAGCGUGUAGGCGGUUCGGUAGGUCCGUUGUGAAAACUCGAGGCUCAACCUCGAGACGCCGAUGGAAACCAUCGAACUAGAGUCCGGAAGAGGAGAGUGGAAUUACUGGUGUAGCGGUGAAAUGCGCAGAUAUCAGGGAGAACACCCGUGGCUAAGGCGGCUCUCUAGUACGGUACUGACGCUGAGACGCGAAAGCGUGGGGAGCGAACAGG